rnacentral:tRNA from 1 species
CAUUAGAUGACUGAAAGUAAGUAAUGGUCUCUUAAACCAAUUUAUAGUAAUUUGACAUUUACUUCUAAUGA